GGGCAGGUGAUCCGAUUGGUAAUGGUGGUUCUCUGUAAAAGAAUUGGUCUACGACCGCAAAAGGUUCGAUUCCUUUACUGCUCA
rfam:Pisolithus tinctorius Marx 270 unplaced genomic scaffold scaffold_330, whole genome shotgun sequence.